ensembl:rRNA 5S_rRNA 5S ribosomal RNA
UCUACAGCCAUACCGCCCUGAACAUGCCUGAUCUUGUCUGAGCUCAAAAGCUAAGCAGGUUCGGGCCUGGUUAGUACUUGGAUGGGAGAAUGUAUUACAUUUAACUCUUGAUAGCAAGAACACAGGGAAACAGAA